rnacentral:rRNA from 1 species
UACGUAGGCAGCGAGCGUUGUUCGGAGUUACUGGGCGUAAAGAGUGCGUAGGCGGUUGGCUAAGUUUGGUGUGAAAUCUCCCGGCUCAACUGGGAGGGUGCGCCGAAAACUGGCUGGCUGGAGUGUGGGAGAGGCUAGCGGAAUUCCUGGUGUAGCGGUGAAAUGCGUAGAUAUCAGGAGGAACACCUGCGGUGUAGACGGCUGGCUGGACCACUACUGACGCUGAGGCACGAAAGCGUGGGGAGCGAACAGG